GCUAUCUGGAAGGAGAGGGAACUCCUAACUACUAAAGGAACUGUUAUUAUAAAUGCCAGCCUUAUUUCUAAUCUGCUAUGAGCUUCCACGCUGCCUUUACAGCUGGGAAUAGUCCACUGUAAAGCCCAUCAGACCGACUCUUCUCCUGCCACAGUGGGCAACUCUAAAGCUGACCAGGUUGGCUGCCCUUCAGGCCCCAACCUCUUCCUCAUUACUCCAUCUUUCCUCUGAGGAGCGACUUUCUGACCCUCACCAACUCAUUAGAUUUCUCCAUUCACUGUUCCAUUCUAGCCCCCAGAGACUUUCCUUCAAUCUUUUUUCCCUCUUUCCUCCGACGAUCGGACCUUUCUGCAACAGGUUACAUCCACAUGCCAGGUCUGCCAGAGGACCAAUACAAACACCCCCUUAAAAUCCAGACCCUAGCCUUCUCAUCAAGCCCGUGGUCACACCCCAGGAGCUGAUUGGCAAAUUGAUUUCACAAACAUGCCCAGGGUAAAAAACAUCAAAUAUCUCUUAGUACUGGUGGACACAUUCUCAGGGUGGAUAGAGGCAUUUCCCACAUCCAAUAAG
rnacentral:lncRNA from 1 species